rnacentral:lncRNA from 1 species
UAAAAUCAAGAUUAAAUAUACAUGAAUUUCAUAAUAAUUUAUUCGGAAUCACAAUUAAAUAAGCCUUUUGAAGUUUCGACCUUAACAAAAGUAAUUUUUAGCCGACUGAUAAUUAAUCGGACGAAACCGUCCUAUUCGACGAUCUCGAAAUCAUGGAAUUUUCAUUCAACAAGCUGAAUGGCUUGAAUAAGCUUCAGAGUACUUUCUUCUUCUAAGUUGGUUGUAGAUUAAUUUGAGAACCAGGCUGGGACUUAUUUUCUGGCGCUGAGAAAGAGGGGAAUAUAACUAUAUAAGUUCUGUUCUCAGUCGAGAGUUGAGGUUGCCCACCAAGUGUUUGUGAGAAGUCUUGUAAGAGAAAAGAAGUGCUGUGUAUCUUGAUUCCUAACCUGAUUGUCAAUCUCAUUCGCGUGAAAAGCCAACUCUCGCUUGCUUAAUAGAAUCCAUAUAUCUUGAUUCCUGCUAGUAUAUCUCCGGAAAAGAGUUGGGACAUCUCCCGUGUUUUAGAUACGUUAUUUCGUGAUUUCGUCGGUGGAGGUUCUCCAAUCAUACCUCACAUUGCCGCACAGAGAAUUUAAGUCGCGGCUUAAAUUGGUAUGCUACUUAUGCUUGCUCUUAUAACUUGAAUUUUGUAGAUGAUUAUGUGUUAUAUUUUUGACUUUAUCACUGUUCUGAAUUUUUUUGCUUUAAUUUAUGCUUGUGUAAUUAGUAGAUUUCUUUUGGGAUUAAUGAUUAUUAUUAAUCUUUAGAGAAUUACCAUAGUGAACACUGAACAUACAACUGAAAUUCAGCCUCUUUCAAUCAAGUUUUCGGGAAUCAGUUUAUAUAAAACAAAAGGGUAGGAGAACGUAAGAAGCAUAGCCGUAGAAAUGCAUAUCUAAGUUAUGUACCAAUAGAUCAAGCAAUUAUAGUUGUUUAAAUCUUUGUCAUCUGUAAACAGUUGGUUACUGUCUACGUGCUUAAUUUUUACAGGCCACGGGCACAGAGCCCCAAAGCCCCUACUUCCUAAGAUAUUCUGAUAAUCUGAAAGAAGUUGUUUCAUAUUUUGCGUAGGAACUAAGAAAACAGAAUUUUGCCAAUAAUCUGACCCUAUUACCCGCACAUUUUUUUAGCAAGACACAAACCAGCAACCUUUUGUUACAAAGAAGAGUCCACUUAGUUGUAAUAAUAAGGAUUAACAACCAAAAAUAUUAUUUGAAUAUCAAAUUCAUUCAAAACAGCAAUCAUCUUAUUUUUAAAUUGAGUCAAAUUCAAUCAGCAGUUCAUUUUUCUUAAAUGCAGCAACUCUACUGGCCUGAUUACUCCUUCCACUUGGUGAUCAGUUUGGCUAAUGCAAUGCGUGACGAUCCAUCCUCAUCGCUCAUUGCAACCUUAGCAGCAUCUCUCAGUUCCCGAACUCGGUGCCUCAAUUUCUUCCCAGUAUCGGAG